CGAAAGGCGUAGUCGAUGGGAAACAGGUUAAUAUUCCUGUACUUGGUGUUACUGCGAAGGGGGGACGGAGAAGGCUAUGUUGGCCGGGCGACGGUUGUCCCGGUUUAAGCGUGUAGGCUGGUUUUCCAGGCAAAUCCGGAAAAUCAAGGCUGAGGCGUGAUGACGAGGCACUACGGUGCUGAAGCAACAAAUGCCCUGCUUCCAGGAAAAGCCUCUAAGCAUCAGGUAACAUCAAAUCGUACCCCAAACCGACACAGGUGGUCAGGUAGAGAAUACCAAGGCGCUUGAGAGAACUCGGGUGAAGGAACUAGGCAAAAUGGUGCCGUAACUUCGGGAGAAGGCACGCUGAUAUGUAGGUGAAGUCCCUCGCGGAUGGAGCUGAAAUCAGUCGAAGAUACCAGCUGGCUGCAACUGUUUAUUAAAAACACAGCACUGUGCAAACACGAAAGUGGACGUAUACGGUGUGACGCCUGCCCGGUGC
rnacentral:rRNA from 1 species